rnacentral:lncRNA from 1 species
UGUGAAGCUGACCUCAACCAGCAGUGAAGAACCAGAGCAAGAAAGCAGCUGGGACUCCUGUGCCCAGGCAGUGGGCAGCGACUGGGCCUCAGAGGAGCCAGCGCCUCCGAUCCCUCAGGGUGUCUUGAAGUGAGGCUCCAUCAUCUCUACGGCUGUUCCUUUGGCAAGCUCCGAAUGCAGUGACCACGACUUUGCAAAAGGAUUGCUGGAUCUCAGAGGCAGAAGGACACCUUCUUUGUGAGCAGCUCUCUUCCUUAAGUGCACGAAACGCUUUCUACUGUCUGGGUGCAGAAUUUGGAGUUUGCUAAACCAGUGUUUUGGUGAUCGGGUUCAUCUUGCAUCACCAUUUGAUGACAUUUUCCUUUGUUCCCUCCUACCCAGUUGAAGCAAGACUGUGAGGCUGCUAUGCAAUGUCACUUACAACAUUAAUCAGAUGCUGCUUUUAAGGUGAGCGGUCCCUUGCCUCCUCCUUCCCCAGUGCUGGCUCCUGUGUGCUGCCUGCAGGGCGUCGCUGGCUUCCGCCAGCUCACAGGGCAGGCAGGAUUAG